UACGGAGGGUGCAAGCGUUGUCCGGAAUCACUGGGCGUAAAGGGCGCGUAGGCGGCUCAUGAAGGCUGUGGUGAAAGUCCGGGGCUCAACCUCGGAUCGGCCGUGGCGACUCGUGGGCUGGAGCACUGUAGAGGCGGGUGGAAUUCCACGUGUAGCGGUGAAAAUGCGUAGAUAUGUGGAGGAACACCAGUGGCGAAGGCGACUCUCUGGGCUGUAACUGACGCUGAGGCGCGAAAAGCGUGGGGGAGCAAACAGG
rnacentral:rRNA from 1 species